UAGUUUGGGACUGCAAGUCUAUAAUGCAUGCACUGACCACUCAGGAGGGAGGAAGAAGAUGGAAAAAAGCACUGAAUUACUUGUAGCCCCGCAGCGCUAGCCACUCGGCCCGGUCGGCGCCCGCAUGGCAUGCACUGCAAGGAUCAUCAUCAAUAAAUAGACAGCAGAUUCUUCCCGAUCCUCCUCAGCCGUCUCCCGUCCCAUCUUCCUGACGAGAGCUCCUGCGCGCUAGAUUUCCUGGCCAUGAUCCCACCUAAUUCUUGGCCGCAGCCUCCACCGGCCGUCGCCCCCUGCCCAGAUCAAGGAUCCGCACCCAGCUUGCUUGCCGCCCCACCCAACGCUCCGACCUCCAUCCCUAGCGCCGCCCCGACACCCCACUGCUUAUCCCAAGGAAGUACGGUGUGCGGAGUCCAGUUGCAACGCCCGACUCUCCUCCGCCUCCAAGCUCUACCGACCGCACUUCUACGAUCACCUGCUGUCUUCGAGGAGUUCGACUCGACGUCCUCGAGCCGGCACCCUCUCCACGGCAUCAUCCUGCUCUGAGCGAGAAAGGAGAUCCGAGUCCCUAUCAACACCACAUCUAGUACUAGCUAAGAUGAAGACUACACAGACGCUGCUCCUGAUGCUCGCCUUUUUCUUGCUAUCACCAGGGGCCAUAAUAAAGGUGUCGAGUUAUUGCGCAGGAGCAAUUAAACCGACGCCUUUACCGUGUGAUCGUCCAGGUUGCCUGUUCGUUUGUCGCCAGGCUCUCCAUAUUUGCCCUGAGUGCACUUGGACUGCUGAGUGCAGCCCCGAGGGAUGCAAGUGCAAUGUGUGUGGUCCUGGUGAAAAACGAAAAUGAGACUGUACUAGUAUCUUGUGAAUAUACUGUAGGACGGUGUGCGUGUUAUGAUAAUUAAAACGAUGUCGUAAUGGAUUGUAUGUAUUUGUAUGGCCUUCUUGGUCUUAUAUCAAGACCUUACAUC